AGUCGUAACAAGGUUUCCGUAGGUGAACCUGCGGAAGGAUCAUUACCGAGUGCGGGCCCUCUGGGUCCAACCUCCCAUCCGUGUCUAUCUGUACCCUGUUGCUUCGGCGUGGCCACGGCCCGCCGGAGACUAACAUUUGAACGCUGUCUGAAGUUUGCAGUCUGAGUUUUUAGUUAAACAAUCGUUAAAACUUUCAACAACGGAUCUCUUGGUUCCGGCAUCGAUGAAGAACGCAGCGAAAUGCGAUAAUUAAUGUGAAUUGCAGAAUUCAGUGAAUCAUCGAGUCUUUGAACGCACAUUGCGCCCCCUGGUAUUCCGGGGGGCAUGCCUGUCCGAGCGUCAUUGCUGCCCUCAAGCACGGCUUGUGUGUUGGGCUUCCGUCCCUGGCAACGGGGACGGGCCCAAAAGGCAGUGGCGGCACCAUGUCUGGUCCUCGAGCGUAUGGGGCUUUGUCACCCGCUCCCGUAGGUCCAGCUGGCAGCUAGCCUCGCAACCAAUCUUUUUAACCAGGUUGACCUCGGAUCAGGUAGGGAUACCCGCUGAACCUAAGCAUAUCA
rnacentral:misc_RNA from 1 species